UUUGAGGGGAAUGUUGUCUGGCUCGAGGACUCUUUCUUGAUCAGUCUGAUCAAGUGUUCUAUCUUUAGAUCUAAUAUCUUAGAUCAUGUGUUAGGGUCGUCGGACCAGGCUUCAUUCCCCCCAAU
rfam:Populus trichocarpa scaffold_2_contig_67, whole genome shotgun sequence.